rnacentral:rRNA from 1 species
UGGGGAAUAUUGCACAAUGGAGGGAACUCUGAUGCAGCGACGCCGCGUGAACGAAGAAGGCUUUCGAGUCGUAAAGUUCUUUUAUAUGGGAAGAUAAUGACGGUACCAUAAGAAAAAGCCCCGGCUAACUACGUGCCAGCAGCCGCGGUAAUACGUAGGGGGCUAGCGUUGUCCGGAAUCACUGGGCGUAAAGGGUUCGCAGGCGGAAAUGCAAGUCAGGUGUAAAAGGCAGUAGCUUAACUACUGUAAGCAUUUGAAACUGCAUAUCUUGAGAAGAGUAGAGGUAAGUGGAAUUUUUAGAGUAGCGGUGAAAUGCGUAGAUAUUAAAAAGAAUACCGGUGGCGAAGGCGGCUUACUGGGCUCAUUCUGACGCUGAGGAACGAAAGCGUGGGUAGCAAACAGG